rnacentral:rRNA from 13 species
GCUUAACACAUGCAAGUCGAGCGGUAACAGGGGUAGCUUGCUACCCGCUGACGAGCGGCGGACGGGUGAGUAAUGCAUAGGAAACUGCCCAGUAGUGGGGGAUAGCCCGGGGAAACCCGGAUUAAUACCGCAUACGUCCUUCGGGAGAAAGCAGGGGAUCUUCGGACCUUGCGCUAUUGGAUGUGCCUAUGUCGGAUUAGCUGGUUGGUGAGGUAAUGGCUCACCAAGGCGACGAUCCGUAG